rnacentral:ribozyme from 1 species
GAAAAAUCGGACACACAUUCAUUUCUCUUUUAGCUUUCCCUCCAUUCUUUUUUCUUCGUUCUUCGUAUACAUCUCAUUCAC